rnacentral:rRNA from 1 species
UACGUAGGGUCCGAGCGUUGUCCGGAAUUACUGGGCGUAAAGAGCUCGUAGGUGGUUUGUCGCGUUGUUCGUGAAAACUCACAGCUUAACUGUGGGCGUGCGGGCGAUACGGGCAGACUGGAGUACUGCAGGGGAGACUGGAAUUCCUGGUGUAGCGGUGGAAUGCGCAGAUAUCAGGAGGAACACCGGUGGCGAAGGCGGGUCUCUGGGCCGCAACUGACGCUGAGGAGCGAAAGCAUGGGGAGCGAACAGG